AUGCACAUUCUUGAUCCUUGCUUCUCCUGUUUUGAGGAUCCUACUUGUCUCUCCUGGAUCCUCUUGUCAUCCUCUAGCCGGAUGAACCUGAGUGCUCGAGUUCUUACUUCAUCUAGAUUCCUGCAUGGUGUCAUAACAAGAUCAUCAUAGAAUAAUGAAUCCUUAAGCAGUCCCAUUUUGAAGGCUUCAACAGCCGUAGCCAUAUCCAAGUUGGGAAUGUCCAAGGAUUCUUUACUAAAUUUAGUUAUAUAAUCCCUUAAUGAUUCAUUAUGAUUUUGAGUUAUCCUGUACAAAUCACUAGUUAAUUUUUCAAAUUUUCUGCUACAAGAGAAUUGGUUAUUGAAUAAAUUAACUAAAUUAGCAAAUGAAGUAAUAGAGUAGGGGGGAAGACUUAGCAGCCACUUAAGAGCUGAUCCAGUAAGAGUGGAUCCAAAUCCUU
rnacentral:lncRNA from 1 species